rnacentral:rRNA from 1 species
UACAGAGGGUGCAAGCGUUAAUCGGAAUUACUGGGCGUAAAGGGUGCGUAGGUGGUUAAUUAAGUCAGAUGUGAAAUCCCCGGGCUUAACCUGGGAAUUGCAUUUGAAACUGGUUGACUAGAGUAUGGUAGAGGGAAGUGGAAUUUCCGGUGUAGCGGUGAAAUGCGUAGAUAUCGGAAGGAACAUCAGUGGCGAAGGCGACUUCCUGGACCAUUACUGACACUGAGGCACGAAAGCGUGGGGAGCGAACAGG